rnacentral:rRNA from 1 species
UACGGAGGGUGCAAGCGUUAUCCGGAUUCACUGGGUUUAAAGGGUGCGUAGGCGGGUUGGUAAGUCAGUGGUGAAAUCUUCAAGCUUAACUUGGAAACUGCCGUUGAUACUAUCAAUCUUGAAUAUUGUGGAGGUAAGCGGAAUAUGUCAUGUAGCGGUGAAAUGCUUAGAUAUGACAUAGAACACCAAUUGCGAAGGCAGCUCACUACACAAAUAUUGACACUGAGGCACGAAAGCGUGGGGAUCAAACAGG